CGCAGCUGCAGCCCCGGUGCCGCGCGCGGCGGAGCGCAGAGCCCAGGCAGCGCCGUGGCAGGCUUCAUCAGCAGUUUCUUGAUUCCUGUGAAGUUCUGAGAUCUACCCUGCUGGAGUGCUUGUAACAGCACCUGAGUUUACAAAAACUUAUGCGUGGAAGAACCUCUCUUUGAAGGAAGCUGCCAUACAAGUAUUGUGAAAACUCCAUCCAGGCCUUGGCAGGCAGGAGAGUAAAUUGUGCUUCUGUUGACACUGGUGUGUAAUCUCUGCUUCUUAUGCACUCCAGCACCCCUAUCAGCUCCUUGUUCUCCUUCACCAGCCCUGCAGUGAAGAGGCUGCUGGGCUGGAAACAAGGAGAUGAAGAGGAAAAGUGGGCAGAAAAAGCUGUCGAUUCCUUGGUGAAGAAAUUAAAGAAGAAAAAAGGUGCCAUGGAAGAACUGGAAAGGGCUCUGAGCUGCCCUGGUCAGCCCAGUAAAUGUGUCACGAUCCCACGUUCCUUGGAUGGGCGACUGCAGGUGUCUCACCGCAAGGGGCUCCCCCAUGUCAUAUACUGCAGAGUGUGGCGCUGGCCUGAUUUACAGUCUCACCAUGAAUUGAAACCACUGGAAUGCUGCGAGUUCCCAUUUGGCUCAAAACAGAAAGAAGUGUGCAUUAACCCCUACCAUUACCGGCGGGUGGAAACCCCAGUGCUACCUCCUGUACUAGUUCCAAGGCACAGUGAGUUUAAUCCUCACCUCAGCCUGCUGGCCAAGUUCAGAAACACUUCUCUCCACAGCGAGCCGUUGAUGCCGCACAAUGCCACCUACCCUGACUCUUUCCAGCAUCCUCCAUGCACUCCUUUUCUGUCCUCACCCAGUCACAUGUUCUCCCAGUCACCUAACAGCAUCAGCUACCCCAAUUCACCAGGAAGCUCCUCCGGACCAGGAAGCCCCUAUCAGCUCACAGUGGAAACUCCACCCCCACCUUACCAUGCAAGAGAAACUUCAGGAAUCCAAAAUGGGCGGUCAAUGGAUGCAAUAGCUGAAAAUCAACUAGUACUUUCUUUGUCCCAUGGAGGUAAAUCUGCCGAUGGAGAAACUGAAAACUUUCGCCCUGUUUGCUAUGAGGAACCCCAGCACUGGUGCUCAGUUGCCUACUAUGAACUCAACAAUCGGGUAGGGGAGACUUUCCAGGCUUCCUCUCGAAGUAUCCUUAUAGAUGGAUUUACAGACCCCUCAAAUAACAGGAACAGGUUCUGCCUAGGGCUGCUCUCAAAUGUAAACCGCAACUCGACUAUAGAAAACACCAGGAGACACAUAGGAAAAGGUGUUCAUCUUUACUAUGUUGGUGGAGAGGUUUAUGCUGAAUGUGUGAGUGACAGCAGCAUUUUUGUGCAAAGCCGCAAUUGUAACUAUCAGCAUGGUUUUCACCCAGCCACUGUCUGCAAGAUCCCCAGUGGCUGCAGCCUCAAGAUCUUCAACAACCAGCUCUUUGCUCAGCUGCUUGCCCAGUCAGUCAAUCAUGGUUUUGAAGUGGUGUAUGAGCUGACCAAGAUGUGUACUAUUCGAAUGAGCUUUGUUAAAGGCUGGGGAGCAGAGUAUCAUCGCCAAGAUGUUACAAGCACACCCUGCUGGAUUGAGAUCCACCUGCAUGGACCAUUGCAAUGGCUGGACAAGGUGCUGACACAGAUGGGCUCACCUCAUAACCCCAUCUCCUCAGUCUCAUAAGAGUCAUCUCCUGAACUCCCUUAGGAUGGAUGCUAUUGCAGGCAGUGGCUUAUAGAAUUCCCAGUGAACAGAAGCUUCUAUAUGUAGAUGACUGAUGCUGAGUUCAGCUCUGGGCAUCCAUUCAAGGGCAGUACAAGCAUUUCCGGUGCAUGCUCCCUAAAUGCAAUUGCAGUCUGGCCAGCAACUGCAUGACUGAAGGACGGAUUAUAUAAAGGUUUCCUGGGCAUUGCAAAAAAAGCAACCCUCUUCCUGCAUAGGUGGGAGAGUCUAGCAUCCUGAAUCAGAUGGAAUCAGCAGAAGCCCUCAUAGCCCAAGAAAGUUGGAUCUCUUAUUUAAGGAAUAACAUUUAUAACAACUAAGAAUGAAAGAACUAAGAAUGAAAAGUGUCCAUCCCUGAGAGUCUGUAAGUUGGUUUGGUAGACUGGUAAGUCUGGUAGAGUUGGUCCCAUCUUGCGGUAGGGGGAGAGAUUAUAUGAGUCUUUAAAUCUGUGAACAAAAUGCUUCUCAGCUUGGAGGCUUCAUUGCAAUCACUGAAAGAAGUCUUCUUCGUGACUGCUGCUCCAGGAGUCAUUCUCUCUGUACCUUUCUGCAAGGUCUAGAAAGCCCGAGUGGGCAAUACGUCUUUGGUCAGCAGAGAGAAUUUGCCUUUUGUCUCUAGUGCAGAUGACAGACUUUCGCGUGUCGUGCACCAGCACAAAAUACAGCCUUUAGUUUGUAUCAAUCGUCUACUCAGAGAAGCUCCAGGGUGGCCAGGAGCAUAGUGCAACAUCAGAUCCUGGAGUCUCUAAAUACCAUGCCAACGGUUUGCCUGGGGCUGCAUUUUUGGUAUGUUGCCAUACUGAUGCCACACUCAGCUCCACCUGGGCCAUGGUUGCAAACUUGGUGUUCUGUACUUAUCUGUACAGGUAAUUAAUCUACUUUGCAGGCCAUGUCUCAAAAGGCAAGUUAGACAAAACCACUAUGUCCUCCAGAGUCUGUUACUCUUCCAUUAUAGCCAAUGUGAACAUUUGCAGCUAAUUGUGAACAUUUUUUAGAUCUUCAGUCAUAGUGUUUUUAUUAUCCAUGGAUGCUGCUAUUUUAUAUUCUGUGUUAGUCCUCAAAUAAUAUUGCAUAUGAAUAGCAUAGGAAGAAAUAGACCAACCAGUUAAAUAAUUUUAAAUAGAGACCUCAUGAGCAAAGAAAAGCUAGAAAACAUUUGGUAAACUCUAACCCCUUGCACUUUCACAGUAGUGAGCACAUCAUCCGUUUCAAAGUGAUUUUUUGAUGCUACAGUGUGUUACGUCUUAUUAAUUCACAGUUAUGUCCAUGAGAUGCUUUGCAAAUGAGAGAGCAAGGGAACAAACAUAAUGAGGAACAGAGAUAAUGCACAUCUAGAUAAAUUUUCUUCAUUUAUUCAGGCAAUUGGAGUUCAUUUUUCAAUUAUUUAUAAUACUUUCUGAGUACAAGUUAAAUGUAGCACAGCAUAUUUUCUGCAGAUAAUGCAGUGUUAGCAAUUUAAUUCCUCAUUUUGGUAUUGCCUGUGCAGUGGGAAAACAAAGUGAAGAAACAGGCCUUUUUUUGUGGGAGGGUCAGUGAAGCCAUAAGCAUGCAAGGAUUUAUGCAUUAAAGGGGCAAAAAUAGUGGAUUUGAGCAAGGAAUGCUUUUCUUUGUUAAGUACUAGCUAUCACAAUCUGGUUGAAUGAAAAAAACUCACAAAGAGUACGCAAAGAUCUAAUAGUAUCACUUCUGCCUAUGAACAAUUCUGCCCUCGCGUUUUCCACCACAAUCAAGGCAAAACUUCUUCACCAUCUAGAAGAUGGAAGUGAGGCUAAAACAGUGUAGAUAACUGUAUAAACAAUGCUGCUUGGACUCUUGCCUCUUAAGAAUGAAAAAUCUCAGAGACGUAUUUAGUUUCAGGAGCCUGGGAGAUCAGGGCAGCUCCAUAGUACUCAGUCCCAUGCCCUCUCAUAUCAAGAAAAAUAUAGUAACUGCUUAUCAAGUGGAUAUUUUCACAAACAUUCCUCCUGUUGCAUUUGAUUUGAAGUAUCCUGAAGUCAAGAUAUUUACUCUGAUGUUUUAACGAUACACUUUUUAACACACUCCAUUUUCUUUGGCUGGAAUUAAUCUAUUGUAAAAGGGAUUAUUCAUGUCUUGUGUUU